rnacentral:tRNA from 1 species
GCCGACUUAGCUCAGUUGGUAGAGCAUCUGAUUAUGUAAUCAGAGGGUCGGGCGUUCGAAUCGUCUAGUCGGCA